GCAUCUUCCCCGUAGCUUUUAAGCCUUAUCCACUCAUCUCAGGGGCCAUGGGCGGUGCUGGUGCCCGCCGCCCCCGGCGUGCGGCGAGCUUGGCGCGAGCGGCUGCGGCGCGCACGCGCAGGGCCGCAUGCGAGCGGCAGCGGGCAAUGGCCGCGCCCGUGGAGAAGGAGCGGAGUGCGGCCAAGGGGCGGCGCACAAGUAAGCCGUGAGCCUGCGAGGCAAAGGCGCAUGGCGGUGACCGUGGAUACGAGUGAGCUUUUUCUUGCUUGCUCCCCAUCCCACACUUUGCAGCUUCGUCUCGAUCAGCUCCCUUCGUUUCAUCGCCGGGCGUUCUCGACAGGCCAGAGUCCGCUCCGAAUGCCGCCUGCCCGAUAAUGUCGAUGGCGAGGCUCACCGCCAAGUCGGAGAAGACGAUCUCGUCGCCGUCGUUGAGGUUCGUCGCUGCGCGCUGGAUGCACAACUCCAUGGCCCGGAUUAGCCCCGCGAUGUGAGACGGCCGGUAGAUGGAGAUGAUUUUUCACAUCGUUGAACAGGCAUGUGCGCGUAGAGGGGGUAUGGGUAUGAACGGCGGGUCUCCACCCAAGUGGGUCCAAUGUGAGGGGUAGGUGACCCCGAUAUGAAUGAGAAAAGUUUUUAAUUAUUUUCGAUCUUUAUAGUAUAGAUUGGUGUGAAACCACAAGCCCUAACCAUUGGACUAUGCAUUCUUGCCUACAAUCAAUCCAUAUAUCUAUUUAUUUUCA